rnacentral:rRNA from 1 species
UACGAGGGGGGCAAGCGUUGUUCGGAAUUAUUGGGCGUAAAGGGUGCGUAGGCGGUUUGAUAAGUCACAUGUGAAAUCUUCGGGCUCAACCCGAAGUCUGCAUGCGAAACUGUCGGGCUUGAGUAUGGGAGAGGUGAGUGGAAUUUCCGGUGUAGCGGUGAAAUGCGUAGAUAUCGGAAGGAACACCUGUGGCGAAAGCGGCUUCCUGGUCCAGUACCGACGUUCAGGCACGAAAGCGUGGGGAGCAAACAGG